ACUUGCAGAGCCCAAGUGGUUGAG
rnacentral:piRNA from 1 species